GAUGAACGCUAGCUACAGGCUUAACACAUGCAAGUCGAGGCGUAACAAGAGAAAAGCUUGCUUUUCUUGUUGACGACCGGCGCACGGGUGAGUAACGCGUAUCCAACCUGCCCAUAACUAGGGAAUAACCUUGCGAAAGUAAGACUAAUACCCUAUAAUUUACUUUGACGACAUCCGCUUAUGAAUAAAGAUUUAUCGGUUAUGGAUGGGGAUGCGUCUGAUUAGCUUGUUGGCGGGGUAACGGCCCACCAAGGUAACGAUCAGUAGGGGUUUUGAGAGGAAGUUCCGCCACAUUGGAACUGAGACACGGUCCAAACUCCUACGGGAGGCAGCAGUGAGGAAUAUUGGGCAAUGGGCGGAAGCCUGAACCAGCCAAGUAGAGUGCAGGAUGACGGCCCUAUGGGUUGUAAACUGCUUUUAUACAGGAAUAAAGUUAGCCACGUGUGGUUAUUUGUAGGUACUGUAUGAAUAAGGACCGGCUAAUUCCGUGCCAGCCGCCGCCGUAA
rnacentral:rRNA from 1 species